ACAAGCAGUGGAACAUGUGGUUCAAUUCGACGCUACGCGAAGAACCUCACCAGGGUUUGACAUAUAGGUAGUAGGAACCUGAAAGGGAGACGACUCGUUAAGCCGAGUGCCUAUACAGGUGUUGCAUGGCUGUCGUCAGCUCGUGCCGUGAGGUGUUGGGUUAAGUCCCGCAACGAGCGCAACCAUCAUCCUUAGUUGCCACCGAGGGGAUCCGAAAGGGUCCUGGCGAGCACUCUAAGGAGACUGCCCGUGAUAAACGGGAGGAAGGUGGAGAUGACGUCAAGUCCGUAUGGCCCUUAUACCCUGGGCUACACACGUGUUACAAUGGGAUGUACAGAGCGUUGCCAAACCGCGAGGUGGAGCUAAUCGCAAAAAGCAUCCCCCAGUUCAGAUUGGAGUCUGCAACCCGACUCCAUGAAGUUGGAAUUGCUAGUAACGGCGGAUCAGCUACGCCGCCGUGAAUACGUUCCCGGGCCUU
rnacentral:rRNA from 1 species